UUUGAUAACUUUAUGAAAACAUGUUAUUGGUGCAAUGGACAAAAAUAAUUUUAUUUUUAAGGUAAAAUGAAAAGAUACUAACUUUUUGUGCUUAUAGUUGGCCGAAUCAAACCCCUCAAAUUAUCAUCAUGCUCCACUUUUUGUAGUUUGAAAAGUGGAUAAAAUAAAGUCACAAAGGUAAUUAUUAAUAAAAAAAUUAAUCAGAAAAGAUAAUCAUGCAUACUAAAAAGGUAAGAAAAAGCAACUAAGAGCACAAACACCUAAUAAUUUUCACAUAAUGAUAGUUCCUUCGAGAGUUAGCGACACCAUAACUCUUUCCAAUUAUCCCAAACCUAAAAUAAAAUCAUUUGAAAAUUAUUUUUAUUUUAGAAAAAUCCCACCCUGUAUUUUUAUUGAAACCGACCUAAUUAAAUCAAGCACAACUGUAACUCGGUAAUAAACAGACGUGUACAGUAAAAAUAAUGAAAGAUAGACGCGUAUAUGAGCUGUAAAAAAACGACCGAAAAAACCGUUACAAACCUCCAACCCACCGCCAUAUUCCGCGAAACCACCGCCUUAAAAUCUACAUAAAACACUCUCACCGGUAAAGUUUUGCGUACAGAACCCUAAUCCGUCAAUUUUCUCUCUCGUUUCAAUUUCCCUAACUCUAACCCUAGAAUCUCCGAUCAGAUUCUAACAAUUCCGAUCAAAACCCAACCCUAACCCUAGAUGAUGAUUCUUCAAUUUGGGGAUGAUUCUUCAAUUUGGGGAUGAUUCAUCCAUUCACUAGUUUGAGCCACCGGAACAGUGGAGUAAUCUUCCGAAGGACGACAACGUGUUUCAUUGGAGCAUAUCUGGUGAUAUUUCUCUUAGAAACUACUUUUUCCCGAAGUGAAGAUGUUGAUCUAAGUCUUCACUUCGGGAAAAAUUAGGUUUUUAUCGAAGUUUCUUUUAUGGUGUUGAUGAAGAAGAAGAAUAAUUAGUAGCAGAAGGAAGUUCGCGGAUAAGAAGACGCCGACGAAGAAGAAAUACUAGGAGUUCGAAAGGAUCGAUAUUUUAGCCCCAUAUGAUUUGGAAGUCCUGGACAUGGGUUUCAUUUGUAAAGUAGACAAAAUCGCUGGUAUUGCAAUGUUCCUUAGGGUGUCCUGUGUCUGGAUGAUGAUCUUUGAUGUGAUUGCGUCUAGGAUAUUUUAGUAAUUCCGCAGUUAAGGACUGUUUCGGUUGGCAAGUAGUUUGGGUGGUCUGCAGUGACUGCAGAGCUGAUGUUGGUUUGAUGAUGGUUUGCGGUGGUGUUUGAGGCUGCUUCUGGCUUUCGUUUGGCAAGGAGUUUGGGAGGUCUGCAGUGACGGUUAGAGCUGAUGUUGAUUUGAUGGUGGUUUGCGGUGGUGUUUGAGGCUGCUGCUGAGUCUGUUGGAUGGUAGUCAGGUGGUCAGCUUAGGUGUGUUUCUGGUGGUCUGCAGUGAGUUUGAAGAGAGCGAUUCUGCUCAGUCGUAACUGCAGUUUUCCCUGUCUGUAGUGUUGUCCUGUUGCUGUGGCUGCUUGGCUGUUGGCUGCUUGGUUAGGCCAGUGCUGCUUCUGGUGCUUCAUUGGUGUAGUGGUACAGCUUCAGGUUUGUUGCAGUUAGUUCAUGUGCAGUGGUGCAAUUUCAGAAGUCUUGCUGUUGUAUUGCGGCUGUAAUUCUCGCAAUUCCUGUUGUAAUAGGUUUGUUAUGGGACUAGAAAUGUGGUCAUAAUGUCCAUAUGAAUUUGGAUGAAGCUUCGUUCUUGGCAUGGGAAAUGAUUUCGGAGUGUAUAUUAUAGUUUAUUUUCUUAUUCAAAUUACUGGCUCGGGUUGAGGUGGAGGUGGAGGUGGGGUGGGGACAUCAGGGGAUCACCAAAUCAGCUAUGGUAGGAGUAUGCACAACUGCACAAGUUGGAUGAAGAAUCAAGGGAAAUUUGGCAUAUUCAGUUGUAUGCUAUCUCAUUUUCUCAUGGAUGUCUUUCGUGUUUGAUUUAUGGAUCUUGCAGAUGAGAGUAUAAGAAGAUGAAACCAGAAAUUCAUCUCGGGAACAAAGAAUAUACAGACAUACAGUUGCUUGUUACUCCGUACAUAGCUUGAUUAUUGUUGCCUACAUUCAUAUAUACUUCUAGACUGUAUAUAAUGCUUUAUAUACCUUCGGUAGUGCAGCAACUCUGUGAUGUUUUUAGUUUUAGAUGUCGUAGCUGCACUUAUUUAGUUCAUGAAAUACAAGGAAGUGUGACUAUGUAGCAGCAAAUAAAUGAAUUUCGUAAUUAUUAUGCCACGAGUUUUGGAUUCUUGAGAUCACCUAUGAAGUAUGAGAGAGGCGCUGAAACAAGUACAAGAAGGCAACGGUUGUGGCAACGGCCAUAGCUUGUUUUGCAAUUUGCAAGGACCCUCGUUAUGGAGGGAGUCUCGGAAAGUGUAGGUAUAAGGCUUAUUGUAUUGUUGACUAGCCUAAGGGGUGAAUUAGGAUGCUUAGUUCCAUGUAUGUAGUAUUUUGAUGGUUGUCGUUGUAUAGUGGAUUUAUAGUAGUGAAUUUAUAGGUCUGGUC